rnacentral:rRNA from 1 species
GACGAACGCUGGCGGCGUGCUUAACACAUGCAAGUCGAACGGAAAGGCCCCUUUGGGGGUACUCGAGUGGCGAACGGGUGAGUAACACGUGAGUAACCUGCCCUUGACUUCGGGAUAACUUCAGGAAACUGGGGCUAAUACCGGAUAGGAAUCCUUGCUGCAUGGUGGGGGUUGGAAAGCUUCGGCGGUUUUGGAUGGGCUCACGGCUUAUCAGCUUGUUGGUGGGGUAGUGGCUUACCAAGGCUUUGACGGGUAGCCGGCCUGAGAGGGCGACCGGCCACAUUGGGACUGAGAUACGGCCCAGACUCCUACGGGAGGCAGCAGUGGGGAAUAUUGCACAAUGGGCGGAAGCCUGAUGCAGCAACGCCGCGUGCGGGAUGACGGCCUUCGGGUUGUAAACCGCUUUCAGCAGGGGCGAAGCUUGUGGUGACGGUACCUGCAGAAGAAGCACCGGCUAACUACGUG